rnacentral:lncRNA from 1 species
UAAAGGCUUUGAUUUUGACUGUUAGAGGCAAAAGUAAUUGAACAUUUCACAGGAGUAAAACUGGAAUUUUAGUCCAAAAUUCCAAUUAAAUCGAUACCAGAAGAAAACCCAAUAGUUAAGAGUGGUUUUGGUUACAAGCAAGCAUUGGUAAGAAACUAAUUAACAAAGUACAUGACAGUUCAGUUUGGACUGUUCCAAAUUUGUUGAUAGCGCAAAAUAAGGAACUUACUCGAGCACAUUCAUUAAUAGGUCAGCGCAAAAUAAUAAGGAACUGACUUGAGCACAUUCAUUCAUAGGUCAGCAAAGUGAAACUAAUUCGUUUUUGCAUCCAUAAUUGCAUCACUUUGGACCACAUCACUGUCACCGUCGUUAACCUUGAGACUCUUAUUCUGCCGGUCACAUUCAGCCUCCUCCUGGCAAC